AUUCUGGUUGAUCCUGCCAGUAGUCAUAUGCUUGUCUCAAAGAUUAAGCCAUGCAUGCCUAAGUACAAAUUCCUUGAAAAGUGAAACUGCGAAUGGCUCAUUAAAUCAGCUAUAAACUAUCGGGUGCACAGUUAUUCUACAUGGAUAACUGUGGUAAUUCUAGAGCUAAUACAUGCCUCAGUUAUUAGGCCUUCACGGGCCUAAUGCAAUUAUUAGACCAAAAUCAACCGCUCUCGGGCGUUGACUUGGUGACUCUGGAUAAUAUUACUAGAUCGUACGACCUCGUGUCGACGACUCACCCGAUUUGUAUCUGCCCUAUCAACUUUAGAUGGUAGGUUAAUAGCCUACCAUGGUGAUAACGGGUAACGGGGAAUCAGGGUUCGAUUCCGGAGAAGGAGCCUGAGAAAUAGCUACUACAUCCAAGGAAGGCAGCAGGCGCGCAAAUUACCCACUCCUGACACAGGGAGGUAGUGACAAUAAAUAACGAUGCGGGACUCAAUCGAGGCCCCGUAAUCGGAAUGAGUACACUUUAAAUCCUUUAACGAGGAUCAAUUGGAGGGCAAGUCUGGUGCCAGCAGCCGCGGUAAUUCCAGCUCCAAUAGCGUAUAUUAAAGUUGUUGCAGUUAAAAAGCUCGUAGUUGGAUCUUAGGAUUUGGGUGGGCGGUUCACCUUUGGUGAUACUGUCUGCCCUGCCUAUUUUAGUCGUGGACAGUUUGGGUGCUCUUAAUUGGGUGCUCUUUCUGCACGGCGCAAUUACUUUGAGAAAAUUAGAGUGCUUAAUGCAGGCAUAUGCCUGAAUACUGUUGCAUGGAAUAAUGAAAUAGGAGUUUACUUCUAUUUUGUUGGUUUUCGGAAUAAACUAAUGAUUAACAGGGACAGACGGGGGCAUUAGUAUGUACGGGUUAGAGGUGAAAUUCUUGGAUCCUGUACAGACUACCUACUGCGAAAGCAUUUGCCAGGAAUGUUUUCACUAAUCAAGAACGAAAGUCAGAGGUUCGAAGACGAUCAGAUACCGUCCUAGUUCUGACCAUAAAUGAUGCCAUCUUGUAAUCCCAGGAGCCUGCUUGUACGGGCGCUGGGGCGGCCCCCGGGAAACCAAAGAUUUUGGGUUCCGGGGGAAGUAUGGUUGCAAAGCUGAAACUUAAAGGAAUUGACGGAAGGGCACCACCAGGAGUGGAGCCUGCGGCUUAAUUUGACUCAACACGGGAAAUCUCACCCGGCCCGGACACUUUGAGGAUUGACAGAUUGACAGCUCUUUCUUGAUUAGGUGAUUGGUGGUGCAUGGCCGUUCUUAGUUGGUGGAGUGAUUUGUCUGGUUAAUUCCGAUAACGAACGAGACUCUAGCUUACUAAAUAGAACUCACGUACCUCAGGCGUGAGGAAACUUCUUAGAGGAACUAACGACGUAUAGUCGUAUGAAAAAGAGCAAUAACAGGUCUGUGAUGCCCUUAGAUGUUCGGGGCCGCACGCGCGCUACACUGAAUACAGCAAUUAGUGUGAUCCUGGCCGGACACGGCUGGGUAACCUGAGUCAAUUGUAAGCGUGACAGGGAUCAGGGUUUGCAAUUAUUCCCUGUGAACGAGGAAUUCCGAGUAAGCACAAGUCAUCAGCUUGUGCUGAUUACGUCCCUGCCCUUUGUACACACCGCCCGUCGCUACUACCGAUUGAAUGUUUUAGUGAGGUCUUCGGACUGGAGCUGACGGAGAGGCCUUUGGCUGAUCUGUUAGUUUCGGGAAGAUGAUCAAACUUGAGCAUUUAGAGGAAGUAAAAGUCGUAACAAGGUUACUGUAGGUGAACCUGCAGUAGGAUCAUUA